UACGGGGGGGGCAAGCGUUGUUCGGAAUUACUGGGCGUAAAGGGCGCGUAGGCGGUUCGUACAGUCAGACGUGAAAUUCCUGGGCUCAACCUGGGGGCUGCGUUUGAUACGUGCGGGCUUGAGUUCGGAAGAGGGUCGUGGAAUUCCCAGUGUAGAGGUGAAAUUCGUAGAUAUUGGGAAGAACACCGGUGGCGAAGGCGGCGACCUGGUCCGAUACUGACGCUGAGGCGCGAAAGCGUGGGGAGCAAACAGG
rnacentral:rRNA from 1 species